UGGGGAAUAUUGCGCAAUGGGGGGAACCCUGACGCAGCCAUGCCGCGUGAAUGAAGAAGGCCUUCGGGUUGUAAAGUUCUUUCGGUAUUGAGGAAGGUUGAUGUGUUAAUAGCACAUCAAAUUGACGUUAAAUACAGAAGAAGCACCGGCUAACUCCGUGCCAGCAGCCGCGGUAAUACGGAGGGUGCGAGCGUUAAUCGGAAUAACUGGGCGUAAAGGGCACGCAGGCGGUUAUUUAAGUGAGGUGUGAAAGCCCCGGGCUUAACCUGGGAAUUGCAUUUCAGACUGGGUAACUAGAGUACUUUAGGGAGGGGUAGAAUUCCACGUGUAGCGGUGAAAUGCGUAGAGAUGUGGAGGAAUACCGAAGGCGAAGGCAGCCCCUUGGGAAUGUACUGACGCUCAUGUGCGAAAGCGUGGGGAGCAAACAGGAUUAGAUACCCUGGUAGUCCACGCUGUAACGCUGUCGAUUUGGGGGUUGGGGUUUAACUCUGGCGCCCGUAGCUGUGAUAAAUCGACCGCCUGGGGAGUACGGCCGCAAGGUU
rnacentral:rRNA from 1 species